UUUAGAAUGCUUAAAAGGCCUAUGUUAUAUAUGAUGAAAUUUUGGACCUCUAUGUAGUAGAGAGUAGCUUGGUAGGCCUAUAGUUGCAUUUAGCAUUCUAUAUGAGACGUGGUUUCAUGCUCCUAUAGUGUAAAUGAGAUUGGAUUCAUGCAUUUAAACCUAAGUUUAUUGAGACAUGAAAGUUGACAAGAUUGCCCUUUAGAAGGUAUGUGAACUGGAG
rnacentral:lncRNA from 1 species